rnacentral:rRNA from 1 species
GUGCCAGCAGCCGCGGUAAUACAGAGGGCGCGAGCGUUGUCCGGAAUCACUGGGCGUAAAGGGCGCGUAGGUGGCGGCAUAAGGCUGUGGUGAAAGGCUGGGGCUCAACCCCAGCUCGGCCGUGGCAACUGUGUCGCUAGGGCACCGUAGAGGCAGAUGGAAUUCCGGGUGUAGCGGUGGAAUGCGUAGAGAUCCGGAAGAACACCAGUGGCGAAGGCGGUCUGCUGGGCGGUGGGUCCGCAAGGAUCCAAUAGCCGACACUGAGGCGCGACAGCGUGGGGAGCAAACAGGAUUAGAAACCCUGGUAGUCC